UAUGUGAUCGUCUCUCGCAUAUCAAUAAGCGGAGGAAAAGAAACUAACAAGGAUUCCCCUAGUAACGGCGAGUGAAGCGGGAAGAGCUCAAAUUUGAAAUCUUAAAGGGUUUCCCUUUACGAAUUGUAGUUUAAAGAAGUGUUUUCUGUUGAGGUUUUGGUAAAAGUUCUUUGGAAUAGGACAUCAUAGAGGGUGAGAAUCCCGUAUUUGACCUUUACUUUCAACUUUGUGAUACACUUUCAAAGAGUCGGAUUGUUUGGGAAUGCAGUCCAAAAUGGGUGGUAAAUUUCAUCUAAAGCUAAAUAUUGGCGAGAGACCGAUAGCGAACAAGUACCGUGAGGGAAAGAUGAAAAGAACUUUGAAAAGAGAGUUAAACAGGUACGUGAAAUUGUCAAAAGGGAAGCGUUUGACACCAGUGUUGUUUUUCUGAAAAUCAAUUAAAGAACUGUUUAUGCUAAGCUGUUUAGACUUUAUCAGCUAACUGUUUAGUUUUGAGCUUUUCUUUAAUGCACUUUUCAGUUAACAAGUCAACAUCAAUUUCUUUUGCUGUAAAAAAGCUUGAGGAAGGUGGCUUGAGAUUCGUCUUAAGUGUUUAUAGCCUCUUGCCUAUGCAGUCGGAGAGAUUGAGGUCUGCAGCGUAGAUCCUUCGGGGCUAAAUGCAUUUGUGCUAAGUUAUAGCAUUUUAUAGACAACUUGUUGACUAUGAUUUGUCUUGUAGCUUAUUCGCUUAUGUUAUUUUACCUACGCUUAGGAUGUUGAACGCGCACAGAGUCUC
rnacentral:rRNA from 1 species